rnacentral:rRNA from 1 species
GACGAACGCUGGCGGCGUGCCUAAUACAUGCAAGUAGAACGCUGAAGGAGGAGCUUGCUUCUCUGGAUGAGUUGCGAACGGGUGAGUAACGCGUAGGUAACCUGCCUGGUAGCGGGGGAUAACUAUUGGAAACGAUAGCUAAUACCGCAUAAGAGUAGAUGUUGCAUGACAUUUGCUUAAAAGGUGCAAUUGCAUCACUACCAGAUGGACCUGCGUUGUAUUAGCUAGUUGGUGGGGUAACGGCUCACCAAGGCGACGAUACAUAGCCGACCUGAGAGGGUGAUCGGCCACACUGGGACUGAGACACGGCCCAGACUCCUACGGGAGGCAGCAGUAGGGAAUCUUCGGCAAUGGACGGAAGUCUGACCGAGCAACGCCACGUGAGUGAAGAAGGUUUUCGGAUCGUAAAGCUCUGUUGUAAGAGAAGAACGAGUGUGAGAGUGGAAAGUUCACACUGUGACGGUAUCUUACCAGAAAGAGACGGCUAACUACGUG